CAUUCCAGCAUGGCCGAGGCAGCUGGAACCAAAAGCUUUCCCCCUGUGAGCUGAAUGAUCUCUUUCAGAGUCCCUGAGUUAAGACCGCAAAUUCUCUCUUCCGGAACUCGCCAUGUUUGGCGGUGCCAGGGAUAGUUCAUUCCCGUCACUCAGGGGAACAGUCAGCCCUGUUCCAUCUCCCUGCUUCUCUCCCUAGGCUAUGGCCCAGCAGCACUACCCAGCGCUGUGAAUGUCGCCUCUCUGGGUGGGGUUUACACCCUAUGCUCCUCAUUAUGGCAAGGCACUAGGCUACGCGCUCCCCGGCGCGACUCAGCCCUCUAGCUGUUUCUUCAGUCGGUCGAGACCCAAAGGACUCCAGAGUCAUCCUGGAGAGUUACCUUGACAACUUUAUGACAUUCCCAGGAGCUGCCCAGCAAUAACAAAAGACUGUGCUCUCUCAGCAAAAAGGCUCUCCAGAAACUUCUCCCUCCUUGAAUUAAACCCAAUUUGUAUUGGAGAAUCAUUUUCAAGAGGAUUACUUGACAAAAAAGAAAGCAGCUUCCAUCACACUCUACCCACCCCCACACCCCAAAACAAAGAAAGAACGAAGAGAAAAAGCUGCAGGAUUUUGAAGCAAGCUGUCAGCCAGCACCGGUGUAUCUAUACACUGCUUUGCAGCAAUUGUGCUCUAGUCCUUGUGAAAAGUGCCUCCAGGCAACAUCCUGAUUAGCCAGCAAGCCAGCAGGCAAACUACAUUUCCUCUCUAUUGAAUGCAAGUGCGGUUAGGCUUUGACAGAAGGCCGAAAGUGGGCGCAGACUCUCAGCUCCAUAUGUGAGAAAUUUUAUUUGCCUGUCUCCUUCGAUGAACGAGUGGACAAUCAAAUCCUAACAGCCAACGAAAGAAUAGAUGUACAGGAAGGCCCCAUGCAGCUCUGUCUCUCCAAUCCUGGGACCGUUGUCAGCUACAAUAAACUCGACAGACAGAGUGCAAUAGGAACUGAUACAAGAAUGUGCUUUCCCGGAGUUUGUGUGAGGUGUAAGCCAAAGGAUGUUGGGCGUUUGGGAGGAAAUCAGGUUAUGAAAAAUUCUUUUAUUUGCUUAGGAUGUCAAAAACACUUGAUAGGGUGCUGGUGCUACUUAGGAUCAAAAGACUUCUGACUACACCAAGUCCAAAUGUUUGAGGUCAAAAGAACCACUAUGACCUUUGAAAGUCAUGUUUUUGAAAGCAAUUUUUCAGGAUCAAAGUCAGGGGCACCUCUAUUAAGUAUUUUAGCCCAAGGAAGAUUUUCUGACUGAUACAAGGUACUGGCCCAGCAAAUGGUUCCAAAAGGCUCUAAAACAUAGGGUUGCUGCUUUUUUAAUGCACACUCAGCUUUAUAGGGGCCAACAUCUUCAUAAUGCAAGGGGCAAUCCUGCCCUUUGGUUGUGUCAGUGAAAUGGUGACUUUCCAUCUGGCAAAGAGUUGUGACUACUUGUUUGUUAGAAUAAUAGGAGAAACAUCGGAGCAGAAGGUUUGGAGUUCUGGUCAUGGCUAUUCAUACCAGCAGGUCUGAUGGAGGCUUCUGCCUGCAGCAGAGACACAGCUGUGUUUAAUUCUGCUGUUUUUAGUCUUUCUGCCCUUGGGUAGUAUGGUUGACUUCUCUCUAAAUGUUACAUUUAUGUCAAGGAAGAGAGGAUGCUUUGGUUUUCUUCUGAGCAGCCCAUGUACAUAUGAAUUGUUCAAAUAAUCCAUUUCUACACUGAAAAAGUAUAUUACUUAAGAUGUAUAUCAUACUUCUUGUAUUAAUAUCAAAUAGGUCUUUGACAUGAUGGUGGUUUAUUGCUGGGAAAACUGCCCUCUGGAUCUAGCCUCAAACUAGAAAAUACUGCAGUGUACAUAACCCCAAGAACUCAAAGAGAACAAAAAGAAACAGGAACUUAAGAGCAAUAAAAGCUCUAAUACUGUGCCACAUUCCACCUCUCCCAUCUUAGCUAACAUAAUCCUAUCAGCAAGUAGUUAGAAACAUCUUUCUGAGGCUUUCUCUAUGUUUAUUAUAUAUAUGACUGUGUGCAAACAUAUAUCAGGUAAGGUCAUUUCAGCAAUUGUGGUGACAAAAAUAAAAUUAUUUUUUUAUGCAGC